GGCCUGGUCGCGGACGGUCCGCGCCCGCUGUGCAUAGGUAUGCAGAAUGGCCUUAUGCGGGAGUUGCUCGUUCGACUCGAGCCUGGGCCA